CGCGUGCACUGGUCCGGCCGGGCCUUUCCCUCUGCGGAACCCCAUGCCCUUCACUGGGUGUGGCGGGGAAACAGGACUUUUACUUUGAAAAAAUUAGAGUGCUCAAGGCAGGCCUAUGCUCGAAUACAUUAGCAUGGAAUAAUAGAAUAGGGCGUGUGGUUCUAUUUUGUUGGUUUCUAGGACCGCCGUAAUGAUUAAUAGGGACAGUCGGGGGCAUCAGUAUUCAAUUGUCAGAGGUGAAAUUCUUGGAUUUAUUGAAGACUAACUACUGCGAAAGCAUUUGCCAAGGAUGUUUUCAUUAAUCAGGAACGAAAGUUAGGGGAUCGAAGACGAUCAGAUACCGUCGUAGUCUUAACCAUAAACUAUGCCGACUAGGGAUCGGACGAUGUUACAUUCUUGACGCGUUCGGCACCUUACGAGAAAUCAAAGUGCUUGGGCUCCAGGGGGAGUAUGGUCGCAAGGCUGAAACUUAAAGAAAUUGACGGAAGGGCACCACCAGGGGUGGAGCCUGCGGCUUAAUUUGACUCAACACGGGGAAACUCACCAGGUCCAGACACAAUGAGGAUUGACAGAUUGAGAGCUCUUUCUUGAUUUUGUGGGUGGUGGUGCAUGGCCGUUCUUAGUUGGUGGAGUGAUUUGUCUGCUUAAUUGCGAUAACGAACGAGACCUUAACCUGCUAAAUAGCCCGUAUUGCUUUGGCAGUACGCUGGCUUCUUAGAGGGACUAUCGG
rnacentral:rRNA from 1 species